GAUGAACGCUGGCGGCGUGCCUAAUACAUGCAAGUCGAGCGAACGGACGAGAAGCUUGCUUCUCUGAUGUUAGCGGCGGACGGGUGAGUAACACGUGGAUAACCUACCUAUAAGACUGGGAUAACUUCGGGAAACCGGAGCUAAUACCGGAUAAUAUUUUGAACCGCAUGGUUCAAAAGUGAAAGACGGUCUUGCUGUCACUUAUAGAUGGAUCCGCGCUGCAUUAGCUAGUUGGUAAGGUAACGGCUUACCAAGGCAACGAUGCAUAGCCGACCUGAGAGGGUGAUCGGCCACACUGGAACUGAGACACGGUCCAGACUCCUACGGGAGGCAGCAGUAGGGAAUCUUCCGCAAUGGGCGAAAGCCUGACGGAGCAACGCCGCGUGAGUGAUGAAGGUCUUCGGAUAGUAAAACCCUGUUAUUAGGGAAGAACAUAUGUGUAAGUAACUGUGCACAUCUUGACGGUACCUAAUCAGAAAGCCACGGCUAACUACGUG
rnacentral:rRNA from 1 species